AUGCCCAGCCACCGACAGACAACCCAAGUACAACUUCCAUUCCAUUUUCACAGGAUGUAAACAACAGAGCAACACAAAAAACAAAUGAGAAAGCAAAGAAGAUGACAACACAAAGUACAACACAGAAAGCAAUUGUAAAAAUGAUGACAACACAAAGUACGACAAAGAAAGUCAAUGUUAAUUCACCUGAGAAGAUGAUGACGACACAAAGUGCAACUCAGAAAGGAUAUAGCUGUCCUGUAGGAUGGCUGAGGGCAGGAUCCAACUGUUACUAUCAAUUAAAUGAGAGGAGAAGUUCGCAGGAGAAUGAAUCAGACUGCCAGAGGAAAGGAGGAAGUCUAAUUGUCGUAAAUAGUAGAGAAAAACAGAGAAUACUUAAUGGUGAAACAACUAAGGAAGUUCAGCAGUGUGGGAUAAAAUGAAAAAAAUGCAACAUGUCUUUAUCCUGUCUUCUUCCCCUCACCCCAACCAGUCACAGCAGAUCGCCGCCCUACCCUCAGCCUGGUUCUGCUGGAGGUUUCUUCCUGCUGAAAGGGAAUUCUUCCUUCCCAGUCUCAAGAAAUUGCUU